AAAACAUAAUAUUUUUUCAGCUUACUGAAGAUAUGAAGGAAGUAGUUAUGAUCCUAGAGAGGAAGGUUGGAAGGUCAAGAAUUAGGGUAGAAGGGAAGCAGAUAGCUAAGUGUUGUCAUACUUUUCGUAGGAAAGGCCGGGGCUAGUCUACUCUACUCAUCUUCUCCUUAUUUAGUAGCGUAAGUUAGUAUUCACGUAGUAUCUUACUGUGCAAUAUUUACUACUCCCUAUUGCUUCUUUUGCUUUGUUCAUCUUGUUAUUUCUUUUCAAUCCUUCUUAGCUUACACUUCUUUUGAGCUGAGGGGCUAUCAGAA
rnacentral:misc_RNA from 1 species